GAGCGCCGUAGCAAUACGGAGCGGCAGACGGGAGAGUAACACGUGGGAACGUGCCCUUCAGUUCGGAACAACUCAGGGAAACUUGGGCUAAUACCGAAUACGUCCGUAAGGAGAAAGAUUUAUCGCUGAAGGAUCGGCCCGCGUCUGAUUAGCUAGUUGGUGGGGUAAUGGCUCACCAAGGCGACGAUCCGUAGCUGGUCUGAGAGGAUGAUCAGCCACACUGGGACUGAGACACGGCCCAGACUCCUACGGGAGGCAGCAGUGGGGAAUAUUGGACAAUGGGCGCAAGCCUGAUCCAGCCAUGCCGCGUGAGUGACGAAGGCCUUAGGGUUGUAAAGCUCUUUUGGCGGGGAAGAUAAUGACGGUACCCGCAGAAUAAGCUCCGGCUAACUUCGUG
rnacentral:rRNA from 1 species